ACGCUCGACACCUACGGAGGCAGCAGUGGGGAAUAUUGCACAAUGGGGGAAACCCUGAUGCAGCGACGCCGCGUGAGCGAAGAAGUAUUUCGGUAUGUAAAGCUCUAUCAGCAGGGAAGAAACUGACGGUACCUGACUAAGAAGCACCGGCUAAAUACGUGCCAGCAGCCGACGGUAAUCUGAGCGGGCUGGCAAGGC
rnacentral:rRNA from 1 species